rnacentral:sRNA from 1 species
UGCAAAUGUGGUGAGUAGAAUACUACUAC